rnacentral:pre_miRNA from 1 species
CAAGUAUUCCCUCCGUUCCAAAUUACUCGUCGCAUAAAUGGAUGUAUCUAGAUGUAUUUUAGUUCUAGAUACAUCCAUUUCUACGACGAGUAAUUUGGAACGGAGGGAGUACGAU